AGACAGGUAAUCGCAGCUGCAAGUGCCGAAAGGCCGCAGGUGAGGAAAGUCCGGGCUUCACAGGGCAGGAUGCCGGUUAACGGCCGGUGGAGGUGACUCCAAGGAAAGUGCAACAGAAAUAAACCGCCGCAGAUACGGGGUGACCCGGAUGUGCGGUAAGGGUGGAAAGGCGGUGUAAGAGACCACCGCUUCCCUGGUAACAGGGAGGGCUCUGUAAACCCCAUCCGAAGCAAGACCGAAUAGAAGCGAUGACGCGGCCCGCCAGCUUCAGGUUGGUUGCUUGAGACGAUUGGCGACAGUCGUUCUAGAUAGAUGAUUACCCACGACAUAACCCGGCUCAUCGUCUUGCUUC
rnacentral:RNase_P_RNA from 1 species